rnacentral:rRNA from 1 species
UGAGGAAUAUUGGUCAAUGGACGCAAGUCUGAACCAGCCAAGUAGCGUGCAGGACGACGGCCCUCUGGGUUGUAAACUGCUUUCAGUCGGGAAUAAAAGAGCGGUCGUGAACCGCUGUAUUGCAUGUACCGUCAUAAGAAGGACCGGCUAAUUCCGUGCCAGCAGCCGCGGUAAUACGGAAGGUCCGGGCGUUAUCCGGAUUUAUUGGGUUUAAAGGGAGCGCAGGCGGACAGUUAAGUCAGUUGUGAAAUACGGCGGCCCAACCGUCGAACUGCAAUUGAUACUGGCUGUCUUGAGUGCACGCAGAGAUGCUGGAAUUCAUGGUGUAGCGGUGAAAUGCUUAGAUAUCAUGAAGAACUCCGUUCGCGAAGGCGGGCAUCUGGAGUGCAACUGACGCUGAGGCUCGAAAGUGCGGGUAUCGAACAGG